CUAGCCCCGUGCCAGCAGCCUGGUGCAUACGGAGGAGCCAAGCGUUAGCCGGAAUUACUGGGCGGAAAGAGUUGCGUAGGUGGCAGGGUAAGUAGAUAGUGAAAGCGUGUGGCUCAACCAUACAUCCAUUAUCUAAACUGCUCAGCUAGAGGACGAGAGAGGUUAUUGGAAUUCCCAGUGUAGGAGUGAAAUCCGUAGAUAUUGGGAGGAACACCGAUGGCGUAGGCAGAUAACUGGCUCGUUCCUGACACUAAGGCACGAAAGCGUGGGGAGCAAACGGGAUUAGAUACCCGAGUAGUC
rnacentral:rRNA from 1 species